UACGGAGGAUGCAAGCGUUAUCCGGAAUUAUUGGGCGUAAAGCGUCCGCAGGUGGCUCAUCAAGUCUGCUGUCAAAGGCAGGGGCUUAACCCCUGAAAGGCAGUGGAAACUGGGGAGCUAGAGUGCAGUAGGGGUAGAGGGAAUUCCCGGUGUAGCGGUGAAAUGCGUAGAGAUCGGGAAGAACAUCGGUGGCGAAAGCGCUCUGCUGGACUGCAACUGACACUAAAGGACGAAAGCUAGGGGAGCGAAUGGG
rnacentral:rRNA from 2 species